rfam:Picea glauca, whole genome shotgun sequence.
AUAAUGGUGUCUUUAGACACCACCGAUAUUCUUUGAAGUUUAUUU